rnacentral:rRNA from 1 species
UACGAAGGGGGCUAGCGUUGUUCGGAAUUACUGGGCGUAAAGCGUGCGCAGGCGGCUUCUCAAGUCAGGGGUGAAAGCCCAGAGCUCAACUCUGGAAUUGCCUUUGAGACUGAGAGGCUUGAGUACGGGAGAGGUGAGUGGAAUUCCCAGUGUAGAGGUGAAAUUCGUAGAUAUUGGGAAGAACACCAGUGGCGAAGGCGGCUCACUGGACCGUAACUGACGCUCAUGCACGACAGCGUGGGGAUCAGACAGG